rnacentral:rRNA from 1 species
UAGGGAAUAUUGGUCAAUGGAGGAGACUCUGAACCAGCCAUGCCGCGUGCAGGAAGACGGCCUUCUGGGUUGUAAACUGCUUUUGACAGGGAAGAAAACGGCUAUGCGUAGCUAACUGACGGUACCUGUAGAAUAAGCACCGGCUAACUCCGUGCCAGCAGCCGCGGUAAUACGGAGGGUGCAAGCGUUGUCCGGAUUUAUUGGGUUUAAAGGGUGCGUAGGUGGCCCCUUAAGUCAGUGGUGAAAUGCUACAGCUUAACUGUAGCACUGCCAUUGAAACUGGGGGGCUUGAGUAUCGUUGAGGCAGGCGGAAUUUAUGGUGUAGCGGUGAAAUGCAUAGAUACCAUAAAGAACACCGAUAGCGAAGGCAGCUUGCUUAGCGAUAACUGACACUAAUGCACGAAAGCGUGGGUAGCGAACAGG